rnacentral:rRNA from 1 species
UGGCGAACGGGUGAGUAACACGUGGGUGAUCUGCCCUGCACUUCGGGAUAAGCCUGGGAAACUGGGUCUAAUACCGGAUAGGACGAUGGUUUGGAUGCCAUUGUGGAAAGUUUUUCGGUGUGGGAUGAGCUCGCGGCCUAUCAGCUUGUUGGUGGGGUAAUGGCCUACCAAGGCGUCGACGGGUGGCCGGCCUGAGAGGGUGUACGGCCACAUUGGGACUGAGAUACGGCCCAG